rnacentral:rRNA from 1 species
AUUGAACGCUGGCGGCAUGCCUUACACAUGCAAGUCGAACGGCAGCACGGGAGCAAUCCUGGUGGCUAGUGGCGAACGGGUGAGUAAUAUAUCGGAACGUGCCCAGUCGUGGGGGAUAACGUAGCGAAAGCUACGCUAAUACCGCAUACGAUCUAUGGAUGAAAGCGGGGGAUCGCAAGACCUCGCGCGAUUGGAGCGGCCGAUAUCAGAUUAGGUAGUUGGUGAGGUAAAGGCUCACCAAGCCGACGAUCUGUAGCUGGUCUGAGAGGACGACCAGCCACACUGGGACUGAGACACGGCCCAGACUCCUACGAGAGGCAGCAGGUGGGGUAAUUUUUGGACAAUGGGCGCAAGCCUGAUCCAG